UCGGAACCUUUCACAGGAUGAUGAAGCCUCGACACACACACACACACACACACACACACACACACACACACACACACACACACACACACACACACUUCUUAGCUCUGCAUGAGCUGCAGCCCACUCCUUUGCAUUCCAGUGCACUCAGCCUUAUCAAAUAUUUACUGUUGAGUUAUGGCUGCUACCCGCUCUGCAAGGUAACGGACAGGGAAGGGGAAGGCUGAUGUUUAGGGCUGCUACCCGCUCUGCAAGGUAACAGACAGGGAAGGGGAAGGCUGAUGUUUAGGGCUGCUACCCACUCUGCAAGGUAACGGACAGGGAAGGGGAAGGCUGAUGUUUAGGGCUGCUACCCGCUCUGCAAGGUAACGGACAGGGAAGGGGAAGGCUGAUGUUUAGGGCUGCUACCCGCUCUGCAAGGUAACGGACAGGGAAGGGGAAGGCUGAUGUUUAGGGCUGCUACCCGCUCUGCAAGGUAACGGACAGGGAAGGGGAAGGCUGAUGUUUAGGGCUGCUACCCGCUCUGCAAGGUAACAGACAGGGAAGGGGAAGGCUGAUGUUUAGGGCUGCUACCCACUCUGGUAAUGGAAGGGGAGUAGAGUAGAGUGUUCACACAGAGGGAUCCCUCCCUGGCUAUAUACAGGAAGUACCUGGUAAUAACAUAGUUAUAUACAGGAAGUACCU